CAAGUCAAAUAUACAGAGUAGUUUCCGCAUUACCCAUCCACCAGUUCACCGAUGAACCGUUUGUUCGCAGUGGCGGGAUUACAGGAAUCUUGAAACGGUUUUCCUCACUGUGUACCGACACGUUUGAGCAGCCAACAUACAAAUCGGUUCAUUAUCUCUCUUUUGUUUCCUCUCUCUCUCUCUCUUCCCGUGCCUCUCUUUUGCCUUCUUCGCUCCCUGCGAUUCCGUAGGGAAGAAGGAAAAAACAUGAACGUAAAGGCGUCAAUUUCUAAGGAGCUGAAUGGCAGGCACACGAAGAUAUUGGAAGGUCUUUUUAGACUCUCUGAAAAUAGGGAAUGUGCAGAUUGCAGGAGCAGGGGCCCUAGAUGGGCGAGCGUAAACCUGGGAAUCUUUAUCUGCAUACAAUGUUCAGGGAUACAUCGGAGUCUUGGAGUGCACAUAUCAAAGGUACGGUCUGCUACAUUGGACACAUGGCUACCAGAGCAGGUUUCUUUUAUGCAAUCCAUGAAUAAUGAGAAGUCGAAUAGUUAUUGGGAAGCAGAACUGCCACCAAAUUAUGACAGGAGUGGGAUUGAGAGCUUUAUUCGUGCGAAGUAUGUGGAGAGAAGAUGGGUUUCCAAAAAUGCAAAACAGUUCACCUCAAAACCAGAGGAAAGCGGCUUCUCUUACAACCUGGGAAUUGAACAUAGAAGUAAUUCUGGAAGUUCAAACAAAUUCAUGAGAUCCGCUCCCAUUUCUAUUAAUAAUAGUACCAUCAAACGAGAGCCAUCAGAAAAUAGACGCCGUUGGGGUUCUGUAGAAUUGAAUGAGAAAGUGACUCCAUUGCCUCCACCGAAAGGGCUUCCACAGGUGAUAGAACGCAAAUUUGGAAUACCUACUGGAAAAGAAAAAGUUUCUGGUGAUCUCGUCAGUGCACUCUGUUUGGAUGGUGCGAAAGAUAAAAGCUCCAUUGCGUCUCCUUUGGACUGGCAAACAUUUGAGUAAUCAAUCUCCUUUGAUGGGCUUAAGUGUCAUCUAGGGGAUAGUUAUUACCUUCUACUGCAAAGGAUCAUUAGCUGAAUGUUAGUGGUUUCUUCAUGGCUCUUGGGAGCAAUAAAUGCAAUGAUCACUUUCAGGACCUUGGAGGAAGGCCCGAAUGAUGGUUUAUAAUGCCUUCAAGACAAGAAAUCAGCAAUUCAUUGCAGGAAUAUCUUGUGACGAUCUAUUAGACAAACCACUUCUUUGCCAGUGUCCAUAGCUCCAGCAACCCUUCCUUUACACCUUUUCUUUAUCAAGCACAGUUGUAUGAUAUCUCAUUCUAAAAUGGCAAUUCCUUGUGAAGCCGCUUUCAAGGACUGGAGUGAACAUUCUUUAUAUUAAAAAUUGGUAAAUGAAUAUACUUUGUGAGCUCAACCUACUUACUAUUUGCUGAUUUAAUUACUUGGCUCUAAAGUCUCAAGUCUAAAAUCUCUUGUUAAUGUUUCCUAAUUUGGAUUUAGUUUUUGUAUCCGUUAUUGAUCUAGAGGCCUUUCUC